UCUCCGUAGGUGAACCUGCGGAGGGAUCAUUACUGAGUGAGGGCUUCGGUCCGACCUCCAACCCUUUGUGAACCAAACUUGUUGCUUCGGGGGCGACCCUGCCGUCCGCGGCUGCGCGCCCCCGGGGUCACUCAAACACUGCAUUCUCUUCGUCGGAGUAUUAGUAAAUCUAAUCAAAACUUUCGACAACGGAUCUCUUGGUUCUGACAUCGAUUCAGAACGCAGC
rnacentral:misc_RNA from 1 species